rnacentral:lncRNA from 1 species
GUGCGGCGUCUUUCUGAACUCCCCCGACUGUCCCAGCUUCCAUAAUACCAUCCGGACUUCUCCAAUAAUGAGCUCCUCCAUUCAUCUAUCGGACUGCUCCAAAUGCUCUCUGAGCUUCACUAUCAGCCGAUUUUGUACAAUGAUCGACUAUUCUCUGAAUCUCUUCCAGACUUCUUCCAGCCACGAUCGACUCUACUCCAAACUUCUAUUGCAAGCGGAGUUCAUCCGAGCUCCUCAAGAGCCGAACUCCGUCCGAACUUCUAUAGUGGAUGGAUUCCAGAUG